rnacentral:ribozyme from 1 species
UGUGAAUUUAACAGAAAUGAAAUAGGUGGGGACUGGUUCAUUAGUUGUUAUAUCUCAUUUCUCACAUUUAUACAUAGAUCUGCU